AGGUGCGAUCGUACCAACAUUAAUUCACUGGAUCCCAUCAGAACUCUGUAGUUAAGCAUGCUUAGGUUCGAGUAGUACUAGGAUGGGUGACCUCCCAGAAAGUCCUAGUGUUGCACCCU
rnacentral:rRNA from 1 species